rfam:Planctomycetes bacterium GWF2_50_10 gwf2_scaffold_1479, whole genome shotgun sequence.
GGAGAGGUGUCGGAGCGGCUGAUCGAGCUGGUUUCGAAAACCAGUGUGCCUUCGGGUACCGGGGGUUCGAAUCCCCCCCUCUCCG